UGCAUGGAAAUUAUUAUUAUUUUUUUUUGUAAUUUUUUUCUUUUCCUUUACACUUUCUCACUGUUUCUUCUUGGAAAAUUGCAUGCUUCAAAAGAUGGGCACUCUGGCAAACAUGCACGCAUUCAUUCAGGCGUUCACUCACAUACUUACAAAACAGAGAUGGACGGACACCAAGAGACGGAGAGACAGACAAAAAGGCAUGCAGGAAGGCAGUUUAGGCAGGUAAAAGUCGUAGGCAGGUAAGGUAUGUAAGCAGGUGAGGCCAGAAUGUAUUUCGACCGGACGUACGCGUGUGAACCCAGUGGGGAAAAGUUGGGCCGAUGUCACAUGGGUAACGUUGGUCGAGAGAGAACGGGCGAGAAAAAAAAAAAAGGGGCCUCGAGUGUACCUCAACGACACAUAUACAGCGUUACAGCAGAUUUAUUGCGGACAGACAUGAAACGGUCGGAAUACAGGACAGAUUAACGGAUACAUAGGACAUAUAAAGAGAGAGAGAGAGAGAUAUAGAUAUACACACAGAGACAGACAGAUAAUCCCUCCUACUCUUCUUCUUGGUCUUCCUCUUCCUCCUCCUCUCACCGAUUCCUUUCUGUGUCCAGAGUUUAAGGAAAGAAGUUGAAAUAAUGGAAAAUGCCUGGGUACCAACUGGAAAGUGUGAUCCAUGUUUGUCUGUGUGUGUGUGUGUGUGUGUGUGUGUGUGU
rnacentral:lncRNA from 1 species